AUACCGGUACUCGUUAGAUCACCGAAGUUAAGCAGUGUCAAACCCGGUCAGUACUUAGAUGAGGGACUGCUUGGGAACACUGGGU